rnacentral:misc_RNA from 1 species
GAUGAAGAACGUAGCGAAAUGCGAUAAGUAAUGUGAAUUGCAGAAUUCAGUGAAUCAUCGAAUCUUUGAACGGACAUUGCGCCCGCCAGUAUUCUGGCGGGCAUGCCUGUUCGAGCGUCAUUUCAACCAUCAAGCCCCCGGGCUUGUGUUGGGGACCUGCGGCUGCCGCAGGCCCUGAAAAGCAGUGGCGGGCUCGCUGUCACACCGAGCGUAGUAGAUUUUAUCUCGCUCUGGGCGUGCUGCGGGUUCCGGCCGUUAAACCACCCUUUUAACCCAAGGUUGACCUCGGAUCAGGUAGGAAGACCCGCUGAACUUAAGCAUAUCAAUAAGCGGAGGA